AUUGAACGCUGGCGGUGGGCUUAACACAUGCAAGUCGAACGAGUGGCGGACGGGUGAGUAAUGUCUGGGAAACUGCCUGCUGGAGGGGGAUAACUACUGGAAACGGUAGCUAAUACCGCAUACCAUCGGAUGUGCCCAGAUGGGCUUAGCUGGUCGGUGGGGUAAAGGGUCACCUAGGCGACGAUGCCUAGCUGGUCUGAGAGGAUGACCAGCCACACUGGAACUGUGGCACGGUCCAGCGUCCUACGGGAGGAAGCAGUGGGGAAUAUUGCACAAUGGGCGCAAGCCUGAUGCAGCCAUGCCGCGUGUAUGAAGAAGGCAUUCGGGUUGUAAAGUACUUUCAGCGGGGAGGCGUUACCCGCAGAAGAAGCACCGGCUAACUCCGUGCCAGCAGCCGCGGUAAUAC
rnacentral:rRNA from 1 species